rnacentral:rRNA from 1 species
UUGCACGCUGGCGGCCUGCUUUACCCAUGCAAGUCGCACGGCAGCGCGGGCUUCGGCCUGGCGGCGAGUGGCGAACGGGUGAGUAAUGCAUCGGAACGUGCCCAGUAGUGGGGGAUAGCCCGGCGAAAGCCGGAUUAAUACCGCAUACGACCUGAGGGUGAAAGCGGGGGACCGAAAGGCCUCGCGCUAUUGGAGCGGCCGAUGUCGGAUUAGCUAGUUGGUGGGGUAAAGGCUUACCAAGGCGACGAUCCGUAGCUGGUCUGAGAGGACGACCAGCCACACUGGGACUGAGACACGGCCCAGACUCCUACGGGAGGCAGCAGUGGGGAAUUUUGGACAAUGGGGGCAACCCUGAUCCAGCCAUGCCGCGUGCGGGAAGAAGGCCUUCGGGUUGUAAACCGCUUUUGUUCGGGAAGAAAUCCUCUGGGCUAAUACCCCGGGGGGAUGACGGUACCGGAAGAAUAAGCACCGGCUAACUACGUG